GCAGCGGAGAAGAGGCCAGGCGGCAGCAGCAGCUCACAGCAGCCCGACAUGCUGUGUGCCAAACCGCCCUUUUUCCCAGGCUUCGGUCUUAGCGACCUGGGGCGGCGUGCUCGCAAGGACCCGGAGAGAAACCCGCCCGAGCAUGCUUGGGAGUGGGAGCCUGGUGGCAGGGUGAGUCCGUGCGAAGACCGGGAGAAGCGGAGGGGCGGGGCUGUGCUAUGACGCCGCCCUCGCUUGGUCCCGCCCCCUCACGCGUUGCCAGGGAGAUCAGGUGACUCCGGGCUUCCAGCGCUUGAGGCUCGGGUGACGUCAAGCGUGCCGCUGCGGCUCAGUGGCUCGGGGCAGGUGCGGCGCUAUUAGCGUAGUCGGGUCCGGUCUUCUUCAGUCCGGACACGGUCAGCAAGCGGCCGCUUCGUGGAACAGAGAGGUGCAUUGCCAGGUUCCUGAUGAACCCAGAGAACCCUCCACCAUAUCCGGGCCCCGGGCCAACAGCCCCAUACCCACCUUAUCCACAACAGCCAAUGGGGCCUAUGGGAGCCCCACCUCCUCAGGGGUACCCCUACCCACCACCUCAGGGGUACCCCUAUCAAGGAUACCCACAGUACGGAUGGCAGGGUGGACCUCAGGAGCCUCCUAAGACCACAGUGUAUGUGGUAGAAGACCAAAGAAGAGAUGACCUGGGCCCAUCCACCUGCCUCACAGCCUGCUGGACUGCUCUGUGUUGCUGCUGCCUGUGGGACAUGCUCACCUGAUCACCUGAUGAGCCUAGCUCUUCUGCUUGGCCGCUCUGUGCCACUCCGAUAGGUGUGCCUGGGCCCACCUCUUCUGAUUGCUGUAUUGACUAGCUCUGCGCAGACACCUCUACUCUCAGUCCUAUGGAGUUUUAGACUAGUGAGGGUUUCUGCUAUUUAGUUCAGUGACUUGAUCUUUUUAAUGUUCAAAACUCAUUUCUUACUGAUCUUUAACAAAUGUGCUAAAUAAUUUCCCUUUUUUUUUGGCCAAAGGCUUAGUUAUGAAAUAUAUAUUUAUAAUGUUUAAAUUAUACACUCAAGGUAAUGGCAAUAUGUGACACACCACUAGAUCUCUGCUCACACCCUAUAUGUUUCAAUAAAUCUGUCCAAAAUCUGUGUGUCUGAAUCAUUCCGGGUAAACUAAACCUCCUUGGGGCUGUGCUUCUGUAUCUCCCAGAUUCUGUUAUACUCCAACCACCACGGCUCGUAAGAUACAAGCAGGUCAGCUUGUGAUACCUACCACCCAAUUCACAAAGGGGAACUUUUCUUCUAUUCUGGCUAAUGUCUUAAAAGUGCUGCCCAAGGCCCAGUGUCAUAUUUACCAACACAGCUCAGACUCGCUUAUGCCUAGGCCCUGGGAAAGGGACCUCUGGGUGACUCUGAACUGCUCCUGCUCACCAGGAGUCCAUAAUCACAGGGUAAACAAAUCAGAGGCUCUUCCUGCUCCCACCCACUCCUAAACUAGUUAACCAGCCUGUUGUUCUCACAUUCAGCCACAGGGUGUCGCUAAGUUGUCAAAAAACAAGUCAGAGUCUCCUU
rnacentral:lncRNA from 1 species